rnacentral:rRNA from 1 species
GACGAACGCUGGCGGCGUGCUUAACACAUGCAAGUCGAACGGAAAGGCCCUGCUUUUGUGGGGUGCUCGAGUGGCGAACGGGUGAGUAACACGUGAGUAACCUGCCCUUGACUUUGGGAUAACUUCAGGAAACUGGGGCUAAUACCGGAUAGGAGCUCCUGCUGCAUGGUGGGGGUUGGAAAGUUUCGGCGGUUGGGGAUGGACUCGCGGCUUAUCAGCUUGUUGGUGGGGUAGUGGCUUACCAAGGCUUUGACGGGUAGCCGGACUGAGAGGGUGACCGGCCACAUUGGGACUGAGAUACGGCCCAGACUCCUACGGGAGGCAGCAGUGGGGAAUAUUGCACAAUGGGCGGAAGCCUGAUGCAGCAACGCCACGUGCGGGAUGACGGCCUUCGGGUUGUAAACCGCUUUCGCCUGUGACGAAGCGUGAGUGACGGUAAUGGGUAAAGAAGCACCGGCUAACUACGU